rnacentral:rRNA from 1 species
CAGCCGAGCGGUAAGAUUCUUCGGAAUCUUGAGAGCGGCGCACGGGUGCGGAACACGUGUGCAACCUACCUUUAUCAGGGGGAUAGCCUUUCGAAAGGAAGAUUAAUACCCCAUAAUAUAUUGAAUGGCAUCAUUCGAUAUUGAAAACUCCGGUGGAUAGAGAUGGGCACGCGCAAGAUUAGAUAGUUGGUGAGGUAACGGCUCACCAAGUCAAUGAUCUUUAGGGGGCCUGAGAGGGUGAUCCCCCACACUGGUACUGAGACACGGACCAGACUCCUACGGGAGGCAGCAGUGAGGAAUAUUGGACAAUGGGUGAGAGCCUGAUCCAGCCAUCCCGCGUGAAGGACGACGGCCCUAUGGGUUGUAAACUUCUUUUGUAUAGGGAUAAACCUUUCCACGUGUGGAAAGCUGAAGGUACUAUACGAAUAAGCACCGGCUAACUCCGUGCCAGCAGCCGCGGUAAUACGGAGGGUGCAAGCGUUAUCCGGAUUUAUUGGGUUUAAAGGGUCCGUAGGCGGACUCGUAAGUCAGUGGUGAAAUCUCAUAGCUUAACUAUGAAACUGCCAUUGAUACUGCGGGUCUUGAGUAAGGUAGAGGUAGCUGGAAUAAGUAGUGUAGCGGUGAAAUGCAUAGAUAUUACUUAGAACACCAAUUGCGAAGGCAGGUUACCAUGUCUUAACUGACGCUGAUGGACGAAAGCGUGGGGAGCGAACAGGAUUAGAUACCCUGGUAGUCCACGCCGUAAACGAUGCUAACUCGUUUUUGGGGCUUUAAGCUUCAGAGACUAAGCGAAAGUGAUAAGUUAGCCACCUGGGGAGUACGAACGCAAGUUUGAAACUCAAAGGAAUUGACGGGGGCCCGCACAAGCGGUGGAUUAUGUGGUUUAAUUCGAUGAUACGCGAGGAACCUUACCAAGGCUUAAAUGGGAAUUGAUCGGUUUAGAAAUAGACCUUCCUUCGGGCAAUUUUCAAGGUGCUGCAUGGUUGUCGUCAGCUCGUGCCGUGAGGUGUUAGGUUAAGUCCUGCAACGAGCGCAACCCCUGUCACUAGUUGCUAACAUUCAGUUGAGGACUCUAGUGAGACUGCCUACGCAAGUAGAGAGGAAGGUGGGGAUGACGUCAAAUCAUCACGGCCCUUACGCCUUGGGCCACACACGUAAUACAAUGGCCGGUACAGAGGGCAGCUACACAGCGAUGUGAUGCAAAUCUCGAAAGCCGGUCUCAGUUCGGAUUGGAGUCUGCAACUCGACUCUAUGAAG